GACGAACGCUGGCGGCGUGCUUAACACAUGCAAGUCGAACGGAAAGGCCCUGCUUGCAGGGUACUCGAGUGGCGAACGGGUGAGUAACACGUGGGUGAUCUGCCCUGCACUUCGGGAUAAGCCUGGGAAACUGGGUCUAAUACCGGAUAGGAGCCAUUUUUAGUGUGAUGGUUGGAAAGUUUUUUCGGUGUAGGAUGAGCUCGCGGCCUAUCAGCUUGUUGGUGGGGUAAUGGCCUACCAAGGCGGCAACGGGUAGCCGGCCUGAGAGGGUGGACGGCCACCAUGGGACUGAGGUAAGGCCCAGGCUCCUAAGGGGGGGAGCAGGGGGGAAUAAUGGACAAUGGGCGCAAGCCUGGUGCAGCGGCGCCGCGUGGGGGAUGACGGCCUUCGGGUUGUAAACUCCUUUCGCUAGGGACGAAGCUUUUUGUGACGGUACCUAGAUAAGAAGCACCGGCUAACUACGUG
rnacentral:rRNA from 1 species